GACUGUGUGGCGUAGUGGAAGCGCGUCUGCUUUACAAUGAAAAUCGCAGAAGGCCGCAGGUUCGAACCCUGCCAUAGUCA
rnacentral:tRNA from 1 species